rnacentral:lncRNA from 1 species
AAGCAGUGGUACUAAUGGCAUCUCCAGUCGAACCAAUGGCUUUAAAAGAGGACAGAUUGAUGACACCUUUCAAGCGGAGGAUCAGGAAUGAUUGCAGGCGUCGUCUUCACAUCACAUCGCUUCACUGCUGCUCAGCGUCUCUUUAGUUUCCUCACAGCUUGGAGACAGUAGAUGAUGCAAAACGAGGGAAAAUCUGAGGAGGAGAAAAACGACGACGGGUUAAUAUUUGAAAGGUCUUCCACCAGCCCACCCUCUCACCUCUAUUCGCUGCUACUGCCACCUCUGCUUGUAUCUGAUGAUGAAUGUCUCCCCUCUUGCCCAGCGUACGGACCGUAACCUCAUCAAAGGAAGGCGACUAGGAGUGGAUUAGCCUCAGCAAAGUGUUAGCGCGAUGGUGCGCUGCGUCUAAUUGGUAAACCCACUUCUUUUUUUUUCUUUUUUCCAAGAGAGCGAUUUCCCCCACAGGAGCAAUAAAAGUAUCCUAUUCUCUUUCA